AUUGAACGCUGGCGGCAUGCCUUACACAUGCAAGUCGAACGGCAGCAUGGUCUAGCUUGCUAGAUUGAUGGCGAGUGGCGAACGGGUGAGUAAUACAUCGGAACGUGCCCUGUAGUGGGGGAUAACUAGUCGAAAGAUUAGCUAAUACCGCAUACGACCUGAGGGUGAAAGUGGGGGACCGCAAGGCCUCAUGCUAUAGGAGCGGCCGAUGUCUGAUUAGCUAGUUGGUGAGGUAAAGGCUCACCAAGGCGACGAUCAGUAGCUGGUCUGAGAGGACGAUCAGCCACACUGGGACUGAGACACGGCCCAGACUCCUACGGGAGGUAGCAGUGGGGAAUUUUGGACAAUGGGGGCAACCCUGAUCCAGCAAUGCCGCGUGUGUGAAGAAGGCCUUCGGGUUGUAAAGCACUUUUGUCCGGAAAGAAAUCGCACUUACUAAUAUUAGGUGUGGAUGACGGUACCGGAAGAAUAAGGACCGGCUAACUACGUGCCAGCCGCCGCCGUAA
rnacentral:rRNA from 1 species